AUGUGCUCGCCUUCACACUCUUCAUCCACUCAACCCCUGUGCACUUUAUCAGAGUUAGUAAUAGUAUUGUGGUGGCGGCCAUUUGUUGUUAUUCAUUGUUAGAAGCGGGGGUAACCCUGUCUGGCAAUAGUAAUGAUAAUAAUCUUGGUUCUACUACUACUACUACUAUGAACACUUUGACUUUUAUUUAUACAAACACUUUGCUUGUUCUUGUGAAUGUGUAAUGCUCCUUGUGAGCGAAAUACAAAUAUACAACUUUCAACAACGGAUCUCUUGGCUCUCGCAUCGAUGAAGAACGCAGCGAAAUGCGAUAAGUAAUGUGAAUUGCAGAAUUCAGUGAAUCAUCGAAUCUUUGAACGCACCUUGCGCCCCUUGGUAUUCCGAGGGGCAUGCCUGUUUGAGUGUCAUGUAAUUCUCAAUCCUCUUCUUCUUAACUGAAGAAAAGAGGCUUGGACUUGGAGGUAUACACAAGCUGGUACUGUUUAGUAUCGGCUCCUCUCAAAUACAUUAGCUGGACUGUAGUUCGCAUUGUUUGGUGUAAUAGUUCUAUCUUAUUUCACUACAGUGCUUACUUAGACGGGUCUGCUUCCAAUAGUCCGCC
rnacentral:rRNA from 1 species